rnacentral:rRNA from 1 species
GACAGAGGAUGCAAGCGUUAUCCGGAAUGAUUGGGCGUAAAGCGUCUGUAGGUGGCUUUCUAAGUCCGCCGUCAAAUCCCAGGGCUCAACCCUGGACAGGCGGUGGAAACUACCAAGCUGGAGUACGGUAGGGGCAGAGGGAAUUUCCGGUGGAGCGGUGAAAUGCGCAGAUAUCGGGAAGAACACCCGUGGCGAAGGCGGCUCUCUGGGACGGUACUGACGCUGAGACGCGAAAGCGUGGGGAGCGAACAGG